GAUGAACGCUAGCGGCAGCCUAACACAUGCAAGUCGAGGGAGGAGCUUUCGGGCUUCGACCGGCGUACGGGUGCGUAACGCGUAUACAAUCUGCCUUUCACAUAGGGAUAGCCCGAAGAAAUCUGGAUUAAUACCUAAUGGUAUAUAGGGAUGGCAUCAUUUUUAUAUUAAAGCUGAGGCGGUGAAAGAUGAGUAUGCGUUCUAUUAGCUAGUUGGAGAGGUAACGGCUCCCCAAGGCGACGAUAGAUAGGGGUUCUGAGAGGGAUAUCCCCCACACUGGUACUGAGAUACGGACCAGACUCCUACGGGAGGCAGCAGUGAGGAAUAUUGGACAAUGGUCGGAAGACUGAUCCAGCCAUGCCGCGUGCAGGAAGACGGCCUUAUGGGUUGUAAACUGCUUUUGCAGGGGAAGAAUAAGGACUACGUGUAGUUUGAUGACGGUACUCUGCGAAUAAGCAUCGGCUAACUCCGUGCCAGCAGCCGCGGUAAUACGGAGGAUGCGAGCGUUGUCCGGAAUCAUUGGGUUUAAAGGGUCCGUAGGCGGGCUAAUAAGUCAGAGGUGAAAGCGCUCAGCUCAACUGAGCAACUGCCUUUGAAACUGUUAGUCUUGAAUGGUUGUGAAGUAGUUGGAAUGUGUAGUGUAGCGGUGAAAUGCUUAGAUAUUACACAGAACACCGAUAGCGAAGGCAUAUUACUAACAAUUAAUUGACGCUGAUGGACGAAAGCGUGGGGAGCGAACAGGAUUAGAUACCCUGGUAGUCCACGCUGUAAACGAUGGAUACUAGCUGUUUGGUUGCAAGACUGAGUGGCUAAGCGAAAGUGAUAAGUAUCCCACCUGGGAGUACGCA
rnacentral:rRNA from 1 species